AGCUACCCGAUCUACAUCGGCUCCGGCCUCCUCAACGAGCCCGAUCUCCUCCAGAGACACGUAAUCGGAAAGCGAGUUCUCGUCGUCACCAACACCACAGUCGCCCCUCUCUACCUCGACAAGGUCACUAAAGCAUUGACUCACGGGAAUUCGGAGGUCUUGGUUGAGAGCGUGAUAUUACCCGAUGGCGAGAAGUAUAAGAAUAUGGAUACAUUGAUGAAGGUUUUUGAUAAGGCGAUUGAGUCUAGAAUGGAUCGGCGGUGCACUUUUGUGGCCCUUGGCGGCGGAGUGAUUGGUGACAUGUGUGGGUUUGCUGCUGCUUCGUUUCUUCGCGGUGUUAAUUUCAUUCAGAUCCCAACAACUCUGAUGGCGCAGGUGGAUUCAUCUGUUGGAGGGAAAACUGGGAUAAACCAUCCUUUGGGGAAGAACUUGAUUGGUGCUUUCUAUCAGCCGCAGUCUGUACUUAUAGACACUGACACACUGAAUACUCUACCUGAGAGGGAACUAGCUUCGGGAAUUGCUGAAGUUGUGAAAUAUGGGCUUAUUAGGGAUGCGGAG
rnacentral:misc_RNA from 1 species